rnacentral:tRNA from 1 species
UGGCUCAGUGGUAGAGCGCUUGCCUUGCAAGCAUGAGACCCUGGGUUCAAUUCCUCAG